ensembl:lncRNA
UGUUUUUAUUGAUCAUAACUACUUUCAUCUUCAUUAAUGUGGACUGUGCAAAAAUGACAAAUCGUCUUUCAUUCACAGGAAAAUAAAACAAAACAAGACAAAAAAAAACAUAUUAAAUAUCUGGAAAGAGGGUGUACUAUUAAUUUUUUCUCACUUCACUGACAUGCCAAAACUGAUGCCAUUCAUUACAUGUUUGUUAAUGUUAUGUAUUAUAUGUUUACAGGUGGUCUAUUUGACAGCUACCAAGAUGAGUAGAAAAACACUGACAAUUGCAUUGUUAAGUUUAGUGUUUUGUAGCGCAUCAGCUGAGUCAGCAAACUCACCUACAACUGAAUCUAUGACUGUCACAUCAUACUCACCUGCACAAACGACACAAUUCUGCUUACAACUGACACAACAGCAUAUACAAUACUGUUCAACAACAACUGAAACUCUGUUUACAACCACUGCCAAACCAACACAAACACCUGAAUCAACAAACUCACCUAUAACUGCAACAACUGAAUCUACGACUGUUAGAACAAACACAGCUACAACUAAAACUCGGCUUACAACUACAAGCCUUCCUACAGAAAAAACAACACAACUCACAACUGAGCAAUCAACUACAUCUGAACAAAGCACCACAAUGCAGUCAGCAAAUUCAUCCCUACCUACAACAAGUACAGCUCAAUCUACAACUGAGGUUACAACAAACUCACCCACAACUACAACUCUGCUUACAACUACAGCUCCUCCUACAGAAACAACAACAACACAACUUACAUCUACGGCUGAACCAAAAACCACAACUGCUGCAACAUCUACAACUGAACCAAAAACCACAACUGCUUCAACACCUACAACUGAACAAUCAACUACAUCUGAACAAAGCACCCCAAAGCAGACAACAACAUCAUCCCUACCUACAACACGUACAGCUCAAUCUACAACCCUGGUUACAACAAACUCACCUACAACUACAUCUCGGAUUACAAUUUCAGCCCCUCCUACAGAAACAACAACAAAACUUACAUCUACAGCUGAACCAACAACCAUAACUGUUUCAACAUCUACAACUGAACUAUCAACUACAUCAGAACAAAGCACCACAACACAGACAGGAACAAAAUCCCUACCUACAACAAGUACAGCUCAAUCUACAACUGAGGUUACAACAAUCUCACCUACAACUGCAACUCUGCUUACAACUACAGCCCCUCCUACAGAAACAACAACAACACAACUUACAUCUACGGUUGAACCAACAACCACAACUGCUUCAUCAUCUACAGCUGAACCAACAACCACAACUGUUUUAACAUCUACGAUAGAACAAUCAACUACAUCUGAACACACCACCACAAUGCAGAUGGCAACAACAUCCCUACCUACAACAAGUACAGCUCAAUCUACAACUGAGGUUACAACAAACUCACCUACAACUACAACUCUUCUUACAACUAAAACCCCUCCUACAGAAACAACAAGACUUACAUCUACUGCUGAACCAACAACCACAACUGCUUCAUCGUCUACAACUGAACUAACAACCAUAACUGCUUCAACACCUUCAACUGAACAAUCAACUACAUCUGAACAAAGCACCCCAAUGCAGACAACAACAUCAUUCCUACCUACAACAAGUACAGCUCAAUCUACAACCCUGGUUACAACAAACUCACCUACAACUACAUCUCGGGUUACAAUUACAGCCCCUCCUACAGAAACAACAACAAAACUUACAUCUACAGCUGAACCAACAACCACAACUGUUUUAACAUCUAUGACAGAACAAUCAACUACAUCUGAACACAGCACCACAACGCAGACGGCAACAACUUCCCUACCUACAACAAGUACAGCUCAAUCUACAACCCUGGUUACAACAAACUCACCUACAACUACAUCUCGGGUUACAAUUACAGCCCCUCCUACAGAAACAACAACAAAACUUACAUCUACAGCUGAACCAACAACCACAACUGUUUUAACAUCUAUGACAGAACAAUCAACUACAUCUGAACACAGCACCACAACGCAGACGGCAACAACUUCCCUACCUACAACAAGUACAGCUCAAUCUACAACCCUGGUUACAACAAACUCACCUACAACUACAUCUCGGGUUACAAUUACAGCCUCUCCUACAGAAACAACAACAAAACUUACAUCUACAGCUGAACCAACAACCAAAACUCUUUUAACAUCUACAACUGAACCAACAACCACAACUGCUUCAUCAUCUACAACUGAAUCAACAACCACAACUGUUUUAACAUCUACAACAGAACAAUCAACUAUAUCUGAACAAAGCACCACAAUACAGAUGGCAACAACAUCACUACUUUCAAGAAGUACAGCUCAAUCUACAACUGAGGUUACAACAAACUCACCUACAACUGCAACUCUGCUUACAACUACAACACCUCCUACAGAAAGAACAAGAAUUACAUCUACUGCUGAACCAGCAACCACAGCUGCUUCAUCGUUUACAACUGAACUAACAACCAUAACUGCUUCAACACCUACAACUGAACAAUCAACUACAUCUGAACAAAGCACCCCAAUGCAGACAACAACAUCAUCCCUACCUACAACAAGUACAGCUCAAUCUACAACCCUGGUUACAACAAACUCACCUACAACUACAUCUCGGAUUACAAUUACAGCCCCUCCUACAGAAACAACAACAAGACAACUUACAUCUACGGCUGAACCAAUAAUUACAACUGUUUUAACAUCUACAACAGAACAAUCAACUACAUCAGGACAAAGCACCACAACACAGACGGCAACAACAUCCCUACCUACAACAAGUACAGCUCAAUCUACAACUGAGGUUACAACAAACUCACCUACAACUGCAACUCUGCUUACAACUCCAGGCCCUCCAACAGAAACAACAACAACACAACUUACAUCUACAACUGAACUAACAACCACAACUGCUUCAACAUCUACAACUGAACAAUCAACUACAUCUGAACAAAGCACCCCAAUGCAGACAACAACAUCAUCCUUACCUACAACAAGUACAGCUCAAUCUACAACCCUGGUUACAACAAACUCACCUAUAACUACAUCACAGGUUACAAUUACAGCCCCUCCUACAGAAACAACAACAAAACUUACAUCUACAGCUGAACCAACAACCACAGCUGUUUUAACAUCUACAACUGAACCAACAACCACAACUGCUUCAUCAUCUACAGCUGAACCAACAAGCACAACUGUUUUAACAUCUACGACAGAACAAUCAACUACAUCUGAACAAAGCACCACAACGCAGACGGCAACAACAUCCCUACCUACAACAAGUACAGCUCAAUCUACAACUGAGGUUACAACAAACUCACCUACAACUACAACCCCUCCUACAGAAACAACAAGACUUACAUCUACUGCUGAACCAACAACCACAACUGCUUCAUCAUCUACAACUGAACUAACAACCAUAACUGCUUCAACACCUACAACUGAACAAUCAACUACAUCUGAACAAAGCAGCCCAAUGCAGACAACAACAUCAUCCUUACCUAUAACAAGUACAGCUCAAUCUACAACCCUGGUUACAACAAACUCACCUAUAACUACAUCACAGGUUACAAUUACAGCCCCUCCUACAGAAACAACAACAAAACUUACAUCUACAGCUGAACCAAAAACCACAACUGAUUCAUCAUCUACAGCUGAACCAACAACCACAACUGAUUCAUCAUCUACAACAGAACAAUCAACUACAUCUGAACACAGCACCACAACGCAGACAGCAACAACAUCCCUAUCUACAACAAGUACAGCUCAAUCUACAACUGAGGUUACAACAAACUCACCUACAACUGCAACUCUGCUUACAACUCCAGGCCCUCCUACAGAAACAACAACAACACAACUUACAUCUACAACUGAACCAACAACCACAACUGCUUCAUCAUCUACAGCUGAACCAACAACCACAACUGAUUCAACAUCUACAACAGAACAAUCAACUACAUCAGAACAAAGCACCACAACACAGAUGGCAACAAUAUCCCUACUUACAACAAGUACAGCUCAAUCUACAAGUGAGGUUACAACAAACUCACCUACAACUGCAACUCUGCUUACAACUCCAGGCCCUCCUACAGAAACAACAACAACACAACUUACAUCUACAACUGAACUAACAACCACAACUGCUUCAUCAUCUACACCUGAACCAACAACCACAACUGUUUUAACAUCUACGACAGAACAAUCAACUACAUCUGAACACAGCACCACAACGCAGACGGCAACAACAUCCCUAUCUACAACAAGUACAGCCCCAUCUACAACUGAGGUUACAACAAACUCACCUACAACUGCAACUCUGCUUACAACUCCAGGCCCUCCUACAGAAACAACAACAACACAACUUACAUCUACAACUGAACUAACAACCACAACUGCUUCAACAUCUACAACUGAACAAUCAGCUACAUCUGAACAAAGCACCCCAAUGCAGACAACAACAUCAUCCCUACCUACAACAAGUACAGCUCAAUCUACAACCCUGGUUACAAAAAACUCGCCUACAACUACAUCGCAGGUUACAACUUCAGCCCCUCCUACAGAAACAACAACACAACUUACAUCUUCUGCUGAACCAACAACCACAACUGUUUUAUCAUCUACAAAUGAACCAACAACCACAACUGAUUCAUCAUAUACAACUGUACUAACAACCACAACUGCUUCAACAUCUACAACUGAACAAUCAACUACAUCUGAACACAGCACCACAACGCAGGCGGCAACAACAUCCCUAUCUACAACAAGUACAGCUCAAUCUACAACUGAGAUUACAACAAACUCACCUACAACUGCAACUCUUCUUUCAACUCCAGGCCCUCCAACAGAGACAACGCAACUUACAUCUACUUCUGAACCAACAACCACAACUGCUUCAACAUCUAAAACUGAACAGUCAACUACAUCUGAACAAAGCACAACAACAGAGACAGCAACAACAUCACCACCACCUACCACAAGUUCAGCACAAUCGACAACUGAGGUUACAACAAACUCACCUACAACUGCAACUCUUCUUACAACUCCAGGCCCUCCAGCAGAGACAAUGCAACUUACAUCUACUGCUGAACCAAAAACCACAACUGCUUCAACAUCUAAAACUGAACAGUCAACUACAUCUGAACAAAGCACCCCAAUGCAGACAACAACAUCAUCCCUACCUACAACAAGUACAGCUCAAUCUACAACCCUGGUUACAACAAACUCACCUACAACUACACCUCGGGUUACAACUAUAGCCCCUCCUACAGAAACAACACAACUUACAUCUACAGCUGAACCAACAACCACAACUGCUUCAUCAUCUACAAAUGAACUAAUAACCACAACUGCUUCAUCAUCUACAACUGAACAAUCAACUACAUCUGAAAAAAGCACCACAAUGCAGACAGUAAAAACAUCCCUACCUACAAGUACAGCUCAAUCUACAACUGAGGUAACAACAAACUCACCUACAACUGCAUCUCUGCUUACAACUACAGCCCCUCCUAUAGAAACAACAACAACACAAUUUACAUCUGCGGUUGAACCAACAACCACAACUGUUUUAACAUCUACAACUCAACCAACAACCACAACUCCGUCAACGUCUACAACUGAACAAUCAACUACAUCUGAACAAAGCACCACAAUGCAGACAGCAACAACUACUCUACCUACAACAAAUACAGCUCAAUCUACAACCCUGGUUACAACAAACUCAGCUAUACCUACAUCUCAGGUUACAACUACAGCCCCUUCAACAGAAACAACAGAAACACAACUUACAUCUACGGCUGAACCAACAACCACAACUUUUUUAACAUCUACAACUGAACCAAUAACCACAACUGUUUUAAUAUCUACAACAGAACAAUCAACUACAUCAGAACAAAGCACCACAACACAGAUAGGAACAAAAUCCCAACCUACAACAAGUAUAGCUCAAUCUACAACUGAGGUUUCAACAAACUCACCAAGAACUACAUUUCAAGUUACAACUACAGGCCCUCCUAAAGAAACAACAACAACAAAACUUACAUCUAUUGCUGAACCAACAACCACAAUUGCUGCAACAUCUACAACUGAACAAUCAACAACAUCUGAACACAGCACCACAAUGCAGACAGCAACAACAUCCAUACCUACAACAAGUACAGCUCAAUCUACAACUGAGGUUUCAACAAACUCACCUAGAACUGCAACUCUACUUACAACUACAGCCCCUCCUACAGAAACAACAAUAACACAACUUAUAUCUACAGCUGAACCAACAACCACAACUUCUUUAUCAUCUACAAUUAAACAAUCAACUACACCUGAACAAAGCACCGCAACACAGGCAUCAACACCAUCCUUACCUUCAACAAAUACAGCACAAUCUACAAACCUGGUUACAACAAACUCACCUACAACUACAUCUCGGGUUACGACUACAGCCCCUCCUACAGAAACAACAACAAGAAAACUUACAUCUACGGAUGGAUCAACAACCACAACUGCUUCAUCAUCUACAACUGAAGAAUCAACUACAUCUGAACAAAGUGCCCCAACACAGACAUCAACAUCUUCCUUACCUACAUCUCGGUUUACAACUACAGCCCCUCCUACAGAAACUACAACAGGAAAACUUACAUCUACAGCUGAACCAAAAACCACAACUUCUUCUUCAUCUACAACUGAACAAUCAACUACAUCUGAACAAAGCACCCUAACACAGACAUCAACAUCACCCUUACCUUCAACAAAUACAGCUCAGACUACAACCCUGGUUACAACAAACUCACCUACAACUACAUCUCGGGUUACGACUACACCCCCUCCUACAGAAACAACAUCAAGAAAACUUACAUCUACGGCUGAACCAACAACCACAGCUACUUCAACAUCAACAACAGAACAAUCAACUACAUCUCAACACAGCACCACAAUGAAGACAGCAACAACAUCCCUACCUAUCACAAGUACAGCUCAAUCUACAUCUGAGGUUUCAACAAACUCACCUACAACUGCAACUCUGCUUACAACUAGAGCCCCUCCUACAGAAACAACACAACUUACAUCUACGGGUAAACCAACAACCACAACUGUUUUAAAAUCUACAACUGAACCAACAACAACAACUGUUUUAAGAUCUACAACUGAACCAACAACUACAACUGUUUUAACAUCUACAACUGAACAAUCAACAACACCUGAACAAAGCACCACAAUGCAGACAACAACAACAUCCUUACCUACAAAAAAUACACCUCAAUCUACAACCGUGGUUACAGCAAACUCACUUACAAGUACAUCUCAGUUUACAACCACAGCCCCUCCUACAGAAACAACAACACAACUUACAUCUAUGGCUGAACCAACAACGACAACUGUUUUAACAUCUACAACAGAACAAUCAACUACAUCUGAACAAAGCACCACAAUGCAGUCAACAACAACAUCCCUACCUACAACAAGUACAGCUCAAUCCACAACUGAGGUUACAACAAACUCACCUACAACUGCAACUCUGUUUACAACUACAGCCCCUCCUACAGAAACAACAACCACACAACUUACAUCUACAGCUGAACCAACAACCACAACUGCGUCAACAUCUACAACUGAAAAAUCAACUAUACCCGAACAAAGCACCACAACACAGACAGCAACAACAUCCCUACAUACAACAAGUACAGCUCAAUCUACAACCCUGAUUUCAACAAACUCAGCUACACCUACAUCUCGGGUUACAAUUACAGCCCCUCCUACAGAAACAACAACAACACAACUUACAUCUACAGCUGAACCAACAACCAUAACUGUUUUAACAUCUACGGCUGAACCAACAACCACAACUGUUUUAACAUCUACAACAAAACAAUCAAUUACAUCCCAACACAGCACCACAACACAGACAGCAACAACAUACCUACCUACAACAAGUACAGCUCAAUCUACAACCCUGGUUACAACAAACAUGACUGUUACAUCAAGCUCAGCUACACAAACGACACAAUUCUGCUUAAAAGUGACACAACAGCUGAUACAAUACUGCUCAGCAACAACUGAAACUCUGUCUACAACCACUGCCAAACCUACACAAAAACCUGACUCAACAAACUCACCUGCAUCUGCAACAACAGAAUCUAUGACUGUUACAGUAAACUCAGUCCCUUCCACAGAAACAACAACAACAACAACACAACUUACAUCUACGGCUGAACCAACAACUACAACCAGAGCUCAAUCAACAACAACCCCAGGCACAACCCAGACAGUUUUUGUUAGUUUUUCCAGCAGUGAAAUUUUUGUCUCUGAUCUGUCAAAUCCAGCUUCAGAAGCAUAUAAAAACAGAGAAAAGAAUGUCAACGAUACGUUGACACCAUUCUUUAGAAAUGCAUUGCCCUCCUUCAAAGGACUGGCAGUUAUUCAGUUCCGUAAUGGGUCAAUCAUCACUGAUAUGAAUGUGACAUUUGGAACCUUACCCAGUGAUGUUGAGAUAGAAAACACUAUUAUGAAAGCUAAUGCCACUCUCAGUAUCACCAGUGUAACAAUAUGGAAGCCCUUCACCACAACUACCAAAGCCACUACAACCAGUUCCACUACAAUUACAACUACAACCACACCUAACACAACAACAGCAGCAGCAACAACAACAACCACAACAUCUACUGCCAAUCCUAAUACAACAGCAUCACCAGCAACCACAACAUCUACUGUCAAUCCGAAUACAACAGCAUCAACAGCAACCACAACAUCUACUGCCAAUCCUAUUACAACAGCAACAACCACAACCACAACAUCUACUGUCAAUCCUAAUACAACCGCAUCAACAGCAACCACAACAUCUACUGUCAAUCCUAAUACAACAGCAUCACUAGCAACCACAACAUCUACUGCCAAUCCUAUUACAACAGCAACAACAACAACCACCACCACAACAUCUACUGUCAAUCUUAAUACAACAGCAUUAACAGCAACCACAACAUCUACUGCCAAUCCUAUUACAACAGCAACAACCACAACCACAACAUCUACUGUCAAUCUUAAUACAACAGCAUUAACAGCAACCACAACAACUACUGCCAAUCUUAAUACAACAGCAUCAACAGCAACCACAACAUCUACUGCCAAUCUUAAUACAACAGCAUCACCAGCAGCAACCACAACAUCUAAUGUCAAUCCGAAUACAACAGCAUCAACAGCAACCACAACAUCUACUGUCAAUCCAAAUACAACAGCAUCAGCAGCAACCACAACAUCUACUGUCAAUCCUAAUACAACAGCAUCAACAGCAACCACAACAUCUACUGUCAAUCCAAAUACAACAGCAUCACCAGCAACCACAACAUCUACUGUCAAUCCAAAUACAACAGCAUCACCAGCAACCACAACAUCUACUGCCAAUCUUAAUACAACAGCAGCAACGGCAACCACAACAUCUACUGUCAAUCCUAAUACAACAGCAUCACCAGCAACCACAACAUCUACUGCCAAUCCUAUUACAACAGCAACAACAACAACCACCACCACAACAUCUACUGUCAAUCUUAAUACAACAGCAUUAACAGCAACCACAACAUCUACUGCCAAUCCUAUUACAACAACAGCAACAGCAACCACAACAACCACAACAUCUACUGCCAAUCCUAAUACAACAGCUUCACCAGCAACCACAACAACUACUGCCAAUCCUACUACAACAGCAUCAACAACAACCACAACAUCUACUGCCAAUCCUAAUACAACAGCUUCACCAGCAACCACAACAUCUACUGCCAAUCCUAUUAUAACAGCAACAACAACAACCACCACCACAACAUCUACUGCCAAUCUUAAUACAACAGCAUCAACAGCAACCACAACAUCUACUGUCAAUCCUAAUACAACAGCAUCACCAGCGACCACAACAUCUAUUGUCAAUCCUAUUACAACAGCAACAACAACAACCACAGCAUCUACUGCCAAUCCUAAUACAACAGUAUCAUCAACAACAACAACAACCACAACAUCUACUGCCAAUCCUAACACAACAGCAUCAACAGCAACCACAACAUCUACUGCCAAGCCUAAUACAACAGCAUCAACAGCAACCACAACAUCUACUGCCAAUCCUAAUACAACAGCAACAACAACAACAACAGCAACCACAACAUCUACUGUCAAUCCUAAUACAACAGCACCAACAGCAACCACAACAACAACCACAACAUCUACUGCCAAACCUAAUACAACUGUAACAACAACACCCACAACCACAACAACAACAACAACAACAACAAAAACAACAACAACAACAACAACAUCUACUGCCAAUCCUAAAACAACAGCAACAACAACCACAAUAACAACAGCAGCAACCACAACAGCAGCACCAGCACGUCCUCAGCCAACUGUUGCCAUACAGAUUGUCAUUAUAGAGGUGUUUGUUCCAGCACUGAAAGACCCUCAAACUCCGGAAUUUAAAAGCCUAGCCACAAAAGUAAUAUAUAGUAAAAUUCUAAAGCAAAACUCUGAAUUCAGUUUUUACUUGCCUGAAAGUUUUGGGAAGGAACUUUUUUCAAAAUGUUAA